CAUACCCCUCACUCAGCGGCUAGGUGGAGGUGUGGUCACUGCCUCUGCCUGCAGGCACCGCUCCCGCAGCUUCCAUUGGCCGGGAACCAGCAGGGGUCCCAGCUCCCGCCCCAAGUUUUAGUCAUGAGUAUUUUUAGUGAAAGUCAUGGACAGGUCACGGGCUGUGAAUUUUUUCUUUUACUACCUGUGACUUGUCUGUGACUUUUACUAAAAAUACCUGUGACUAAAACAUAGCCUUAAUUAUGAGUAGGCAUGGCAUGUUAGUGACUUCCUAGCAUUAGAAAAUACAGGUGGAAACUCAGUUAGAAAGUCUCUCGGUAAACACUGGUGUACCUUAAGCUCAGUCUGCAAAAGAUACAAAUAGCCUCAGAGAAGUUCAAAAAAGGUUUAGUCCUGUCCAAAUAGCAUGUCAUUAUCUUCCUAAUAUCCCAAAGUAUGGAGGGCAGCAUCUUCCCUAGUUUGAUGGGGUUUAGGAUAAAAUAUGGGGAGAUGAAUAGUCCAAUUUAUAUGAAAGUCUGAGGAACACGUCAUCUUUGAAGAAAACAGUACAGAAGGGUCAGCCAUUGAAGCCCCUUGCUCACAAAGGCAUUUUCCUAGAAAGGUGUAAAAGCAUACCGGUAGCUGUUGGUUUAAAGGGAGGUUUUGUCAAAUUGAGAGCUAGGUUCAAGAUCCAGGUUGGGGUGGGCUCCCUGACAUGUGGGAAAAGGUUUGAUAACUAUUUGAUAAACCCAGAAGUUGCAAGGUGAGCAAACACAUAGGACUCUUCUACAGGCAAAUGAAACACUGUGGUGGCUGCCAGAUGGACUUCAGUGGAGCUCAAGGAGAGACCUCCCUUUCUUCGGGGUACUCUAAAGUAUUCUAAAACUUCCAAGAUGGGAAAAUCCAUAGGAGACAGGUGUUGCUGAGUGCACCAAUGGUAAAUCUUUUUCAUUUCUGAAGGUAAGUUUUCCUGGUGGAUUCCUUUCUACUGUUGAGCAGGACCUCCUGCACCUCCCUGGAACAGGAGAGCUCUAUCUCUGACAACCAUCCAGGUACCAGGCUUUGAGUCAGAGUUUUGAGAUGGGGUGAAGAAUGUUCCCUUUGUCCCACAUGAGAAGGCUAGACAUCAAUGGUAGAUUGAUAGCCAGUCGAGAGGAGCGGUGAAGGAGAUAAGGGAACCAUACUUAUCUUGGCCAGGUUGGUGCAAUCAAAAUGCCUGUGGCUCUGUCCUGUCUGAUUUUGUUCAGGUCCCUGAGGAUUAGCAGCAUUGGAGGAAAGACAUAUAGAAGGUUCUUCGACCAUGAGCGGAGAAAGUCAUCCUCCCAGGAAUGAUGACCCAGACCUCCCUUUGAGCAGAAGUUCAUGAAUCUUCAGCUGGCAACAAUGGCAAAGGGAUCUAUUGCUGGAAAACCCCAGGUCUGACUUUGUCAAAGUAGGUUGUCCUUCAAGGCAUCUCAUCCAAGGAGCCGAUCCUGCAAACACUUAGAAUGUACAUCACUUCAGCUGUGUAAGUAAUCCCAUUGACUACAAUAAGGC